rnacentral:rRNA from 1 species
GACGAGCCACACAAACGUUAUUCGGAAUUACUGGGCUUAAAGGGUGCGUAGGUGGCGCGGCAAGUUGGGUGUGAAAUCCCUCGGCUCAACCGAGGAACUGCGCCCAAAACUGCCGUGCUCGAGGAAGAUAGAGGUAAGCGGAACUUACGGUGGAGCGGUGAAAUGCGUUGAUAUCGUAAGGAACACCUGUGGCGAAAGCGGCUUACUGGGUCUUUUCUGACACUGAUGCACGAAAGCUAGGGGAGCAAACGGG